rnacentral:rRNA from 1 species
CGCGCAGGCGGUCGUUCAAGUCGAGUGUGAAAGCCCCCGGCUCAACUGGGGAGGGUCACUCGAUACUGAUCGACUCGAAGGCAGGAGAGGGUAGUGGAAUUCCCGGUGUAGUGGUGAAAUGCGUAGAUAUUGGGAGGAACACCAGUGGCGAAGGCGACUACCUGGCCUGUUCUUGACGCUGAGGCGCGAAAGCUAGGGGAGCAAACG